UAGGAUGCUCAGCUGAAAAUUCUUGAGGUACUGAAGCUGCUUUUAUGCCAUUUUUAGGCUAGUUUCUGAAUUUUUACAACAGGAACCCCUGUGAUCAAAAUGAGAUGUGGUCGAUACUUGCAUCAGAGACAUUGUAGCAUCCAUUGAUACUGACUGAGAUUGAUGGAGACAAGAUUCAUCAUAAACAGAAGCAGAAUAAAAUAUUUCUUCUUAAUUCAGUGUUGGAUCUCUCAUGGUAAAAAAAAAUGAUUUUGAAAAUACCUGUUUGAAGAUCUCUGCCACUGUAUCACUGAAGACUUCAUUUUAUAUUUCUAAUUAAAGAUCAAACCAUGAAAUAAUCCAAUUUUGCAAAGAUUUCAAGUAUCAGAAACUUGGAGAGCAAAUGCUUGGGGAAAAGUUUUAUUCAUCAGACUAAAAAACACCUGUAGGAUGAAUAGUCUUUAUGGAAUGUUUGUAUUUCCAUCCUACAUGAAAGAAUUUCCUAACAGAAUAAAAUGUUAAUUUACAACAGAAGAUCUGAUUUACAGAGUCUACAUAUUUCAAACUAAUGUCUCAGGCCAUUUCCCCAUCCCUUUCUGCAAACAGUUCCACUUCGUCAGUUGUUUAUUCUGAAUAUUCAAAUUAAUCAUUAACUGUUAUCUAAAAAAUAAAUAAAACAACAUAUACUAUGCUCAUGCACUCUCAGCAGAGUAAGCUAAAAGUGGAAUAUUGUCAUUUCCCAAUGAUUCUAUCUUCUAAUAAUAUUGGAUUAAAAACAAACAAACAAUACUUUGAUUUCUUUCAUGUAGUUUUCCACAGAAAUGAUUCUUCUGUCAGUGCCACUAGGCUCUCCUCCAUGCACUUGGAAGGCAUCCAGCAAAAAGCCUCAGAGUUUACUUAUGCCCUACCAGGGGGGAUCAAGAUAUGGUGCAUAUGCAAUGUGUCAUCCAGUGUUUUUAGAACAUGUAAAAGAUCCAGCUGUGCUGUUAAUUUAGUCCAGCCUCGGGGCUUCCACAGCAUAUCAGUGUUACAUGAUCUACAUUCUGGAGCCUACAUUCUAUUCUAAAGUCAGGAAAUUGUGAGGAAUAGAUCCUUAUUGAUCUCCUCACUUCACUAGAAAAGAGCAAGUGUUCAAAAUAAUAAUUAUUAUUCUAUAUAAAGAUAUAGUAGAUAAAAUGUGAUAGAAUAUAGAACUUUCCUGGCAAUAUCUGUAGGCAAGAUUAAAGAUCAGAAAAAAAUGUUGUAUUUUAAAAUUUCUUCAGUUUAUAUUUGUUUCCUAAUAAUUAAAAUAAACAUAAGAGUAAACAAAAAGUACCCAUUUGGCCACUUGGAAAGCAUUCUCUUAGCAAUGCUAAAUUAUUAGUUCAUAUAAUCCUGCUGUUUUAAGUUCCAAACUAAGACAAUAAAUAUUUUCAAAU
rnacentral:lncRNA from 7 species